rnacentral:rRNA from 1 species
UACGUAGGUGGCUAGCGUUGUCCGGAUUUACUGGGCGUAAAGAGCGCGCAGGCGGCUUUGUAAGUUAGAGGUGAAAGCCCGGGGCUCAACUGGGGAGGGUCACGCGAUACUGAUCGACUGGAAGGCAGGAGAGGGUAGUGGAAUUCCCGGUGUAGUGGUGAAAUGCGUAGAUAUCGGGAGGAACACCAGUGGCGAAGGCGACUACCUGGCCUGUUCUUGACGCUGAGGCGCGAAAGCUAGGGGAGCAAACGG